rnacentral:lncRNA from 1 species
CCGAGUAGCCACAGCGGCAGCUCCAGCCCGGCCCGGCAGCGACAUGGAAGACAGAAUCUCUCUGUUGCCCAGGCUGGACUGCAGUGGCACUGUCUCAUCUCACUGCAGCCUCGACUUCCAGGGCUCAAGUGAUCCUCCCACCUCAGCCUCCCGAGUGACUGGGACUACAGGCUCAUGCCAACAUGCCUGGCUAAUUUUUGUAUUUUUCGUAGAGAUGGGGUUUCGCCAUGUUGCCCAGGCUGGUCUUGAACUCCUGGGCUCAAGCAACCUGCCCACCUUGGCCUCCCAAAAUGUUGGGACUACAGGCAUGAGCCACCACACCUGGCCUGAAACCCUCCUUACCUCAUUCACACUGCCUACCCUGCAUGGACACACUCUUCAUGCUGGCUGGUCUCCAGCAGCCCACCCUGGGCUACCCCUAUUCAUUGCAUGGACAUUUUUCUCAUCCAGCUUGGAUUUUGACAUCCCAUGCCAAGCUGCUCCUUUGCGUAUUUUUAAACUAUGUGUAUUUCCCCUGCCUUUAUGCUUUGUUGCUA